GGUGCAUGGUUGUCGUCAGCUCGUGUCGUGAGAUGUUGGGUUAAGUCCCGCAACGAGCGCAACCCUUAAGCUUAGUUGCCAGCAUUAAGUUGGGCACUCUAAGUUGACUGCCGGUGACAAACCGGAGGAAGGUGGGGAUGACGUCAAAUCAUCAUGCCCCUUAUGAUUUGGGCUACACACGUGCUACAAUGGACAAUACAAAGGGCAGCUAAACCGUGAGGUCAUGCAAAUCCCAUAAAGUUGUUCUCAGUUCGGAUUGUAGUCUGCAACUCGACUACAUGAAGCUGGAAUCGCUAGUAAUCGUAGAUCAGCAUGCUACGGUGAAUACGUUCCCGGGUCUUGUACACACCGCCCGUCACACCACGAGAGUCUGUAACACCCGAAGCCGGUGGAGUAACCAUUUAUGGAGCUAGCCGUCGAAGGUGGGACAAAUGAUUGGGGUGAAGUCGUAACAAGGUAGCCGUAUCGGAAGGUGCGGCUGGAUCACCUC
rnacentral:rRNA from 1 species